GGAUUUGUGGCUCAGCGGUAGAGCACUCGUCUAGCAUGUGUGAGGCCCUGGGUUUGAUCCUCAGCACCA
rfam:Ictidomys tridecemlineatus contig029972, whole genome shotgun sequence.